AAGUGACCGAUCCGAAGUGCCGGUGUGCGGGGUGUCAGCCGGCCGCGCAGGACAUGAGAGCCGCCCCCGACUGUCCUCCCGGAUCUGCCGCCAGC
rfam:Rhodococcus pyridinivorans SB3094, complete genome.